rnacentral:rRNA from 1 species
AUACGUAGGUGGCAAGCGUUGUCCGGAAUUAUUGGGCGUAAAGCGCAUGUAGGCGGUGCCUUAAGUCUGUCGUGAAACUGCGGGGCCUAACCCCGUAUGGCGAUGGAAACUGUGGCACUUGAGUGCAGGAGAGGAAAGGGGAACUCCCAGUGUAGCGGUGAAAUGCGUAGAUAUUGGGAAGAACACCGGUGGCGAAGGCGCCUUUCUGGACUGUGUCUGACGCUGAGAUGCGAAAGCCAGGGUAGCGAACGGGAUUAGAUACCCCGGUAGUCCUGGCCGUAAACGAUGGGUACUAGGUGUGGGAGGUAUCGACCCCUUCCGUGCCGGAGUUAACGCAAUAAGUACCCCGCCUGGGGAGUACGGCCGCAAGGCUUAAACUCAAAUGAAUUGACGGG